rnacentral:rRNA from 1 species
CCUACGGGCGGCUGCAGUGGGGAAUAUUGGACAAUGGGGGGAACCCUGAUCCAGCCAUGCCGCGUGUGUGAAGAAGGCCCUCGGGUUGUAAAGCACUUUCAGUGAGGAAGAACGCCUGGUGGUUAAUACCCAUCAGGAAAGACAUCACUCACAGAAGAAGCACCGGCUAACUCCGUGCCAGCAGCCGCGGUAAUACGGAGGGUGCGAGCGUUAAUCGGAAUUACUGGGCGUAAAGCGCGCGUAGGUGGCUUGAUAAGCCGGUUGUGAAAGCCCCGGGCUCAACCUGGGAACGGCAUCCGGAACUGUCAAGCUAGAGUGAAGGAGAGGAAGGUAGAAUUCCCGGUGUAGCGGUGAAAUGCGUAGAGAUCGGGAGGAAUACCAGUGGCGAAGGCGGCCUUCUGGACUGACACUGACACUGAGGUGCGAAAGCGUGGGUAGCAAACAGGAUUAGAUACCCUGGUAGUC